rnacentral:rRNA from 1 species
CAGGGAAUCUUCGGCAAUGGACGAAAGUCUGACCGAGCAACGCCGCGUGAGUGAAGAAGGUUUUCGGAUCGUAAAACUCUGUUGGUAGAGAAGAACGUUGGUGAGAGUGGAAAGCUCAUCAAGUGACGGUAACUACCCAGAAAGGGACGGCUAACUACGUGCCAGCAGCCGCGGUAAUACGUAGGUCCCGAGCGUUGUCCGGAUUUAUUGGGCGUAAAGCGAGCGCAGGUGGUUUAUUAAGUCUGGUGUAAAAGGCAGUGGCUCAACCAUUGUAUGCAUUGGAAACUGGUAGACUUGAGUGCAGGAGAGGAGAGUGGAAUUCCAUGUGUAGCGGUGAAAUGCGUAGAUAUAUGGAGGAACACCGGUGGCGAAAGCGGCUCUCUGGCCUGUAACUGACACUGAGGCUCGAAAGCGUGGGGAGCAAACAGGAUUAGAUACCCUGGUAGUCCACGCCGUAAACGAUGAGUGCUAGAUGUAGGGAGCUAUAAGUUCUCUGUAUCGCAGCUAACGCAAUAAGCACUCCGCCUGGGGGAGUACGACCGCAAGGUUCGAAAC